rnacentral:rRNA from 1 species
UGAGGAAUAUUGGUCAAUGGGCGCGAGUCUGAACCAGCCAAGUCGCGUGAGGGAGGACGGCCCUACGGGUUGUAAACCUCUUUUGCCGGGGAGCAACGGGCGCCACGUGUGGCGCCACUGAGAGUACCCGGAGAAAAAGCAUCGGCUAACUCCGUGCC